rnacentral:rRNA from 1 species
CGAAUUCGCCCUUAGAGUUUGAUCCUGGCUCAGGACGAACGCUGGCGGCGUGCUUAACACAUGCAAGUCGAACGGAAAGGCUCCUUGCUUGCAAGGGGUACUCGAGUGGCGAACGGGUGAGUAACACGUGGGUGAUCUGCCUUGCACUUCGGGAUAAGCCUGGGAAACUGGGUCUAAUACCGGAUAGGACCAUGCUUUAGUGUGUGUGGUGGAAAGUUUUUUCGGUGCAAGAUGAGCCCGCGGCCUAUCAGCUUGUUGGUGGGGUAAUGGCCUACCAAGGCGACGACGGGUAGCCGGCCUGAGAGGGUGUACGGCCACAUUGGGACUGAGACACGGCCCAGACUCCUACGGGAGGCAGCAGUGGGGAAUAUUGCACAAUGGGCGCAAGCCUGAUGCAGCGACGCCGCGUGGGGGAUGAAGGCCUUCGGGUUGUAAACUCCUUUCGCUAGGGAAGAAGCCACUUGUGGUGACGGUACCUGGAUAAGAAGCACCGGCUAACUACGUGCCAGCAGCCGCGGUAAUACGUAGGGUGCGAGCGUUGUCCGGAAUUACUGGGCGUAAAGAGCUCGUAGGUGGUUUGUCGCGUCGUCUGUGAAAUCCCGGGGCUUAACUUCGGGCGUGCAGGCGAUACGGGCAUAACUAGAGUGCUGUAGGGGAGACUGGAAUUCCUGGUGUAGCGGUGAAAUGCGCAGAUAUCAGGAGGAACACCGAUGGCGAAGGCAGGUCUCUGGGCAGUUACUGACGCUGAGGAGCGAAAGCAUGGGUAGCGAACAGGAUUAGAUACCCUGGUAGUCAAGGGCG